UCCUGCAGCGUGGCGGUGAUGGGCACCUGGUGCCCUCGGGGAUACGACAAGAGAGCGCCAGGAUCCCCCGAGGUGCUGAUGCUGACACUUCCCAGGGAUGUGCGCUUCUCCCGGGCAGUACAAACACCCGUGUGCCCCUCAGACAAAUGCCUGGGGACACCCAGACCAGCUGGCUUUGGGAAUGUGGGACAUCAGAAAGAACUUGCCACCUGCCUGCAGAGCCUGCAAACCCCAGCAUGGUCUCUUCCUUCCAGCAGAGGCAUCCCUGGAUGUCAGCAAUCCCAGCAGGUUUUUAACACCAAUAGACUUCACUGGAGAGAUGCACGUGGCUGGGUGAGAGCCUGAGCCCUCAACUAUCAGCUCAAGCUGAUGACUACAACCAGGGCUCCAUGAUACUGAAGAGCUGAAUCCAUCCCAGAUCCUGGACUGACAAGACAUUAAUAAAUUGUUAAGGCUUUAUCAAAACUGCAGAGGCAAUUUAAAACAAAUUCUUUGUCAGCAGGAACUGACUUUCCACGUACUCUUUCAACAUAUGUAAAAUGAAAGGGAAAUAAAAGUUGUGUACGUUG